rnacentral:lncRNA from 1 species
GGCAUUUUUAUAUAGAUUUAUUGGUUUCUGCUAGGAAUUGGAGUGUGGUUCCUAACAAAAAAGUGGGGGCUUACAAACCAGUCAUUCUUUAAAAAGCAGAGAAGUUAUUUAAUUUCUUUUCUGUAAGUUCCACCAUAUUCACGUAGAAAUGUAGCAGAAAAGAUGGUGAAUCAGGUUCUAUUAUGAAUUACCAAUCUAAAUGACAACUCCAUGCUCCCACAACACACAGACCUAGACCCAGGGUCACAAAAUACAACGUCAGACCCAAGUUUUAAAUGGCACACUGCUCUACGUUUUCCACGAUGAAAAAGAUUAGGAAAAUAAAGUGUUUACUUGGGGUGGGGGGGAGACUUUUUUCACACCCACUGGGACUAGAGAGAAAUGAACGACUGAGUUGAGAACUAAUAUUUUAUAAAAUUCAACUUUACUUAAAAAGACGAAAUGUAAAAUAAAUACUUUUUUGGCAGAAGAAAAGCAGACACCUUGGUUACUAGAUGACAGACGUUCAGGACUGCUCUGAAUGAAGAAUGGCGGAAAGGUCUGAAUCCUAAAUCACGACAGUCUGUUGAAUAUCUUUCCUCUACAAUCCAACCUUUCUUCAAAUCCUUCCAAAAUUCUACCCUAGAGAAAU